GCGGUACAGCCGCGGGCCCUGACCUUGGUCGCUACGGAACCGAAGGUCGGGAGUUCGAAUCUCUCCGGGCGCG
rnacentral:tRNA from 1 species